GUUGGGUAGAGAGGCUGGCGGUGGGGCGGCGGGGGGUUUGGGGUCUUACUUAUCAUCCUCCUCCUGUAGCGCGGCUUACGUGUCCUGAGUUGUGCCCAAUAGCAGCACUGCCGCGCCGUUUAAAUCCUCUUUUCACAACAGGCCCAGGGGGAAGAAAUGAUGCCGUUUCCAUUAUGGGGAAAUUAAGACCAGGACAGGGCAAGUGGUUGGUCAAAAGUAGUAGCAGCUCGUGUGGGAGUUUGCCUAAUCCCGAUCCCCUCAGUUUGGCUCUGCUAUGAAUUUCUUCCGUAAUGCAUCCGUGUAGAAACGCCCCAACGCCUGGCGCAUCCUGGCCGGCCACGUCUGCGAGGCGUCCGCCCGCCUUCAGCUCAGCCUUGUUGCCCAUGGAGUAGGCCCAGCCGCCGCCAUCGUGGUCUUUGCGGUGGAUGCAAGGCCGAAUCGUGCGCUUCGCCCACCUCCACUGCCAGCGUCUUGGGAUUUCGCUUGGUCUCCUACGCCUUGACUCCGCACAUAGAGGGUUCUUGCCGCCCUCGACCGGUUAACCGAGGGAGCCGGCACGCACGGCUCGGUGCUGGCAAACUGACUCCCGCCAGGAGCUUGUAAAGUCAGGACUGACGGCUGGAGGUCUGUCAUCGUUGGCAAACAGUCUCUGACCGUAAUAAAGGACGGACGACUAUGAUCUUGGACUUUCCACCGAACCAGUUGCUUCUCCUGGUUUCCAUUCCUUUAGAAUAUGACUGAGAACCAGUAAUUCAAUCUUAUGUCAGCAUUAACUAUAACCAGCCCUCUAUCAAGUGUGAAUAGCCACUCGGGUCUCUAUUUUUUUUUAAAACACAGAGGCGAUCAGCAUUGCCUUUUGGCGACCUCUCAAGCAGUGGCACUACAAGAAAUACAGCGAAAAGAAAGAAGAGAAAAAUGAGAAGGGAUUAGGGAGGAAGAAAAUGUAAAGGAAUAAAGGAGAAUGCUGA